ACCAAGACAGCAGGAACACGCCACGCGCGGGAGGCAUAAGGGAAUGACUGGACACAAAGAGUGAUUUAGUGACCACAGGAAGCACAAGGUGUUGGGAGUCUGCAGGGGCCAUGCACUUGAGACAUAUGCUUUGGAAACCUCCUGGAAAGCGAGGGAAGGACUAGAGCGAGGACCCAGACUGAGGGUGGCCAGGACAAGAAUGCACCCAGUGGAGACAUCGGUUCAAUGCUUGCAAUAUGCCAGUGGUUCUCAACCUUUUUUUGUAUGUGACGGUUACGUGGCAUGGUGGUGAUGCGGGUCGUUCUCUCAGGGAUGCAGUCGGGCUCGAACACAGCAUGAAGGUGUGAACACCAAGUAAUCAAAAUUGCUUACCACACCCUUGUAGAAGUAGACGAGGGAGCCAGCUACAAUCUCAGCAAUUAAGAUCAACAAGAGGCAGGCAAAGUACUAAAACAAAGAGAGAAAUGAAUGUAAAAUAAGAACAUAAAACACAACUAUAAUACAUAAUAGUAAUCAACCUACAGUUUAAAUUCUUAUGGACACUGUGGCAAACUACAAAAAUUAAGUUCAUUGACCCUAUGUUUAUAAUCAUUGUAUGUACUAGGGAUGUACUGAAAUUUUGGAUUUUAAUAACUGAAACAGCACUGUCGAAACAGGAUGUUGUGAUGACAUUAGAAAGAAGCACCUAAUUGUCUAAAGUGGAAAGAACAUGUCCGUGAUGUGGACGUGCUUUAAUAUAUCCGAGAUAAACCCUCAAACAAAGAUCUGCAAAAGUGCAAUUUGGAAAUAUCAAGAAGGCUGUGGUGAUUACUAGUCUUUCAAGGAGGUGUAGUGCCAGCUGGGUGUGACCGCUUUUGAGUGCUUUGGGAUAGUGGAAAGUUCGAGCAGCACUCGCUGCUUGUCGGCCACACUGCAGAGCGACAAAAUUCAAGAGUGUUGAAACACUAAUACGGUCUCCAAUAACACCCGAAAAAUUUUUUAAAUUUGUGGCUUGUCUAUGACGAAAUGAGGAAAAAAAUACUUCAAAGUAGGGCUGGGUGAUAUAUCGAUAUAUUCGAUAUAUCGUGGGUUUGUCUCUGUGCGAUAUAGAAAAUGACUAUAUUGUGAUAUUGGAGGAUACGUUCUCACGCAGUUGCUUUUAGCUGCAAGCUUUACACUACAGGCGUUUCUCACUCUUUUUCUUCUCACCUUCUUACAGAGACAUAAAACGAGCACACCUUCUUACACACGUCUCAUACUGUCGCGUGUGCAACAUGACGUUGCACAUGACACGCUCUCGCCGAGCAGAGAGGUUGCGACACCGGUAUCAUUAGCUGUGGUGCUAACGGUGCAGUGCGAGAGGUAAUACGAGAGAAAGAAGGCGCGAAUCCGGUAACAAAUGAAGGAAGAAUUAAUUCCCAAGAAAAACAGCACGGGGUCCAUCGCAUACUUGUCCAACCUUGAGACCUCAGAUUUCGGGAGGUUGGGGAUAUGUGGUCAAAUACUUGACUUUCAGUGAA